GCGCAGUGGCUCAAGCCUGUAAUCCCAGCACCCUGGGAGGCCGAGGUGGGCGGAUCACAAGGUCAGGAGAUCGAGACCAUCCUGGCUAACACGGUGAAACCCCAUCUCUACUAAAAAUACAAAAAAUUAGCUGGGUGUGGUGGCAGGCGCCUGUAGUCCCAGCUACUCAGGAGGCUGAGGCAGGAGAAUGACAUGAACCUGGGAGGCGGAGCUUGAUAAAGUAAACUGAAAACUUUUUCUCCUAGUUUACUAAACAUUUA
rnacentral:lncRNA from 1 species